ensembl:lncRNA
CAGGGAAUGGGGAGCUCUGUGUGUGUGUGUGUAGGUGGACAGGGAAUGGGGAGCUGUGUGUGUGUGUGUGUGUGUGUGUGUGUGUGUGUGUGUGUGUGUGUGUGUAGGUGGACAGGGAAUGGGGAGCUCUGUGUGUGUGUAGGUGGACAGGGAAUGGGGAGCUCUGUGUAGGUGGACAGGGAAUGGGGAGCUCUGUGUGUGUGUAGGUGGACAGGGAAUGGGGAGCUCUGUGUGUGUGUGUGUGUGUGUGUGUGUGUGUGUAGGUGGACAGGGAAUGGGGUGCUCUGUGUGUGUGUAGGUGG